UACGUAGGGUCCGAGCGUUGUCCGGAAUUAUUGGGCGUAAAGAGCUCGUAGGCGGUCUGUCGCGUCGGCUGUGAAAACACGGGGCUCAACUCCGUGCCUGCAGUCGAUACGGGCAGACUAGAGUUCGGUAGGGGAGACUGGAAUUCCUGGUGUAGCGGUGAAAUGCGCAGAUAUCGGGAGGAACACCGGUGGCGAAGGCGGUUCUCUGGGCAUGUCCUGACGCUGAGGAGCGAAAGUGUGGGGAGCGAACAGG
rnacentral:rRNA from 1 species